rnacentral:rRNA from 1 species
CCUACGAGUGGCAGCAGUGGGGAAUAUUGGGCAAUGGGCGAAAGCCUGACCCAGCAACGCCGCGUGAAGGAAGGAGGCUUUCGGGUUGUAAACUUCUUUUGACAGGGAAGAGCAGAAGACUGUACCUGUCGCAUAAGCCACGGCUAACUACGUGCCAUCAGCCGCGGUAAUACGGAGGUGGCACGCGUGUUCCGGAUUUCAUGGGUGUACAGGGCGUGUAGCCGGGCUGACAAGUCAGAUGUGAAAUCCGAGGGCUCAACCCCCGAACUGCAGUUGAAACUGUUGGUCUUGAGUAUCGGAGAGGCAGGCGGAAUUCCUAGUGGAGCGGUGAAAUGCGUAGAUAUUAGGAGGAACACCAGUGGCGAAGGCGGCCUGCUGGACGACAACUGACGGUGAGGCGCGAAAGCGUGGGGAGCAAACAGGAUUAGAUACCCUAGUAGUC